rnacentral:lncRNA from 1 species
GAGGCAUCUGGGUCUCUAUGAUUGAAACACAGCUUGCUUUGGAGUGGCUUUUCCCAUUGAUUAGGUUCCCCUUAGCUAGAAAACUGAAGGUCUGUUUUCAUGUCUUUCCUGCUCUCCUCCUUCGCUUUCCUUCCUCCACUAAAGGGGCUGAACCUGCAGCAACUCAGUCCACACGUAUUAUCCUCUCACACCUGUACACUCCCUCCCCAUAUCCUCACCAAGAACAACUCCCUGAGUGAUUCCUCAGCAUCAUGGUCAGUGUCCCGAUAAUUCCUCUGUGUCCCUCUAGCUCGCCAUUGAGGUAGAAGAAGAGGCUCUUCCCGACAUUGAGGUGAGCUCCUCUUUCUUUAUCUCAGAUGAAAAUGCAGCUUCAUUUCUUUUUUCAGUCAAAGGCAGUUAUAAAAUUCAGACCAUAUACGUUAUAGCUGAUGUAUACAGUUUCCUUGGUUGGGCAUGUUGAGGGAAAAUCAACUACAACAGAGACCUGAUUCAAUAAAUCUUUCCCCCAAUGUUAGCAUCAAAUAACUACUGUCCUAAGAGCAGGCCCUUUCCCCAGCAGAAUAUUUUCCUCCUUGAAGGAGGAAACUUUUAUGAUACCUGUUUCAAAUUGGACCUGAGAAGUCUUCCAGGAAAAGCUAGAUCCUUUCCCGCUGAUGUCUUCUCAGGUUCCUUUGGGGACCAUCGACUCAAGGACAGUUUCCCAGUUAGUUUUCUGAGGACAAAGAGGGAACAGAAGGCCUGUGAGCUCAGAGCACAGGAAGCUUAAUUAGAUCCUCACACUGUCCUUAUUUUUGUUUUUUCUCUAGUUGCAGAGACAGAACAUUGUCAAGAAAAUUCAUAUAUAUUAUGAGAGGGACACUCCACCGAUGAACAAUCAGGGUGAAGGAGAAAAAGAUGCUGGAUGAGGAGGACACUGACAAAGACGGGAUGAGUUUGGAGGUCGACACUCCAGUGACGAACCAUCGGGGUGACGACGACGAUGACGAAGAAGAUCUCCCCGAGAUAGUGCUGGAUGACGUGCCUGCGGUGAGGGUGGCGGGACGGCCUCCAUUCGCUCCGCGGGUAAGUUGGGUUUUUAGUCUGAGCUCGCAGUGUUGCUCUAUUUCCCCUCCGUGGACAUUAAGUUAUGACAGCCUGAGCCUGCACGUUCCAGACCAUGUGGACGGUUCCGAGGGUUGGGACUCCAUGUCAGGCGCGUCUGUUGCCAACUCCCGAUGCCUGCUUCCGCAGGGCAAUGCGAUAACAACACCUGUCCCAGCCUGCAGAGGACAGAGCUCCUUCUCCAGAAGCAUCUUUUCCUCGAGGGAAAGAGUUCUGUCAUCUCCAACUGACAUGGCCUUGGACAUCCCGUCGUCUAGGACAAGUUCUUGCCUUUGUCCCCGAGGAGGGUUUGCUCUGCCUUUGCUGGGUUCUCUGGACUCCACCGCUGUUGUGCAUCGGGGUUUCUGCUGUCACCAAGUGAAGGAAAGACCUGUGCAAAUAGGUGGCCUUGUGGUCUGA